rnacentral:rRNA from 1 species
GACGAACGCUGGCGGCGUGCCUAAUACAUGCAAGUCGAACGCACAGUUUAUACGAUAGCUUGCUACACCAUAGACUGUGAGUUGCGAACGGGUGAGAAACGCGUAGGUAACCUGCCUGGUAGCGGGGGGUAACUAAUGUAAACGAAAGCUAAUACAGCAUAAUAUUGAUUAUUGCAUGAUACUUAAUUGAAAGGUGCAAUUACACAACUACCAGAUGGACAUGCCUUUUAGUAGCUAGUAGGUGAGGGAACGGCUCACCUAGGCGAAGCUACAUAGCGGUGCUGAGAGGGUAAGCUGCCACACUGGGAAUGAGACACGGGCCAGACUCCUACGGGAGGCAGUAGUAGGGGAUCUUCGGCAAUGGGCGAAAGACUGACCGCGCGACGCCGCGUGAGUGAAAAAGGGUUUCGGGGCGUAAAGCGCUGUUGUGUGGGGAGAAAGGGGGUGAAGGUUGAAAGUUCACACUGUGACGGGAACUUACCAGAAAGGGACGGCUAACUACGUG